rnacentral:rRNA from 1 species
UACGUAGGUGGCAAGCGUUAUCCGGAAUGAUUGGGCGUAAAGCGUCCGCAGGUGGCUAUGUAAGUCUGCUGUUAAAGAGUGAGGCUCAACCUCAUAAGAGCAGUGGAAACUACAUGGCUAGAGUGCGUUCGGGGCAGAGGGAAUUCCUGGUGUAGCGGUGAAAUGCGUAGAGAUCAGGAAGAACACCGGUGGCGAAAGCGCUCUGCUAGGCCGCAACUGACACUGAGGGACGAAAGCUAGGGGAGCGAAUGGG